GAUGAACGCUGACAGAAUGCUUAACACAUGCAAGUCUUUGGCGAAGCUGUGCUUGCACAGCCUAGCCAAGGCGGACGGAUGAGUAACGCGUAAGGAACUUGCCCUGCAGUCAGGGAUAACAGACGGAAACGACUGAUAAGACCUGGUAAAGUCAGGCGGACUCAUGUCCAGCCUGAUGAAAAGUGAUGCUGCAGGAGAGCCUUGCGUCCUAUUAGCUUGUUGGUGGGGUAACGGCCCACCAAGGCGAUGAUAGGUAGCCGGCCUGAGAGGGUGGACGGCCACAAGGGGACUGAGAUACGGCCCUUACUCCUACGGGAGGCAGCAGUGGGGAAUAUUGGACAAUGGGGGCAACCCUGAUCCAGCAAUUCUGUGUGCACGAUGAAGGUUUUCGGAUUGUAAAGUGCUUUCAGCAGGGAAGAAAAAAAUGACGGUACCUGCAGAAGAAGCGACGGCUAAAUACGUG
rnacentral:rRNA from 1 species